rnacentral:rRNA from 1 species
GACGAACGCUGGCGGCGUGCCUAGUACAUGCAAGUUGAGCGCUGAAGGUUGGUGCUUGUACCAACUGGAUGAGCAGCGAACGGGUGAGUAACGCGUGGGGAAUCUGCCUUUGAGCGGGGGACAACAUUUGGAAACGAAUGCUAAUACCGCAUAAAAACUUUAAACACAAGUUUUAAGUUUGAAAGAUGCAAUUGCAUCACUCAAAGAUGAUCCCGCGUUGUAUUAGCUAGUUGGUGAGGUAAAGGCUCACCAAGGCGAUGAUACAUAGCCGACCUGAGAGGGUGAUCGGCCACAUUGGGACUGAGACACGGCCCAAACUCCUACGGGAGGCAGCAGUAGGGAAUCUUCGGCAAUGGACGAAAGUCUGACCGAGCAACGCCGCGUGAGUGAAGAAGGUUUUCGGAUCGUAAAACUCUGUUGGUAGAGAAGAACGUUGGUGAGAGUGGAAAGCUCAUCAAGUGACGGUAACUACCCAGAAAGGGACGGCUAACUACGUG